AACGAACGCUGGCGGCAUGCCUAACACAUGCAAGUCGAACGCUUUUGGGGCUUCGGCCCCAAGGGAGUGGCGCACGGGUGAGUAGCGCGUGGGAACCUGCCCUGUUGUGGGGGAUAACCGAGGGAAACUUCGGCUAAUACCGCAUGCGCCCGGAGGCAACUCCGGGGAAAGAUUUAUCGCAGCAGGAGGGGCCCGCGUCGGAUUAGCUGGUUGGUGGGGUAACGGCCCACCAAGGCGAUGAUCCGUAGCUGGUCUGAGAGGAUGAUCAGC
rnacentral:rRNA from 1 species